rnacentral:lncRNA from 1 species
UUUUUCUUCUACAUUUUUAUGUAAAUGUGCCACUACUUUAUGGUAAGACCUGUUAAAAAUGCUUUGUUUUAUUAUUAAGAAGGUAUCUCAGUUAAAUAUAUUGUACUUUGUUCUAAACAGCUUUACAGUAUUAGACAGCCAUUCUGAGUUAUAAUUCAAGACCAUUUUGUUGUCCAUUUCCUAGGAAUACUAUAAUAAUACACUGGGAAUUUCAGGUGGUUCUACCUGUGAUUUGGGAGUUGCAGAUCUAUAUCCCGUAAGAAAGAACCCACAACCCAUGGGAAAUCCAGUAUUAAGUAGUCAUUACCAUCCCCAAAAAGCUCAAAAGGGCUAUCAAAAGAUUCAGCUAAAAUUAUCACAAAAUAUAAUGACUGGUGAAAGGCAUUUUGGAGCAGCCUUUUAAAAAUCUCCAAUACUUGUCUAUUUUUAUUUUCUGGGUUUUGACUUUACUUGACUGGUAUCCAUGGUUUUAAGGAAAAGUUCUCAGAAAAUCUAAUGUGUCUUCAUAAUUUUCAUAUUAAAAAUUAAUCAAGACACAUUACAGAAUAUUUAUGAGUGCUUCUGAACAUGAGAACUUCAGGAUUAAGCCUUAAACAAAGACCUGUGUCAGGUUAACCUAAAAACUCAGGAACUCAGAGUUGAAAAUUUGGUUAAUAGUCAUUACUUGGCUUCCCUAAUAGGUAUGUGGGCUUGCUCUUCUAUCUUCUUGCAUUACAUAAUCCCAUAACCCUGCAAACUGCUCAGUAUGAUUAAUUAGAUGUUCAUCUUUUUAGAAAAAGGAUAUGGAGGAAGAGUUUGGUCUCUAGUUUUUGCUAUCUAUGGCUUUACAUAAGUCUCUAAAGGACCUCAAAGGCUACUUUAUGCAGUGUAUUUAAGUAUUACAUUGGUGUUAAAUGAGGCUGUUAUUACAAUCUUAUUGUCUUUGAUAGUUCCUAUCCCAUUGCUUAAACUAUGACCUAUUUGAAGAUACAAUGACAUUUUUGAGUUAAAGUAGUAGUGUACAUUUCCUUUACCUUUGAAAAACUCAAAUAAGAAAUCUUAGCCCAUAAUGUAAAAUUGCUGCUUUACCUAGUUGAAUCAGGUUAGCUCAUAUUGAGUGAGAUUUUUUUUUGGUUUGAACAAUGGAGAAAAAGUAAACAUAACCUAAGUCUUAUGGCACAUAGCUUCACUGCCACCUAUAUAUUUGUGACUUCAUUCUUACAUAAUUUUAAUGAGAAAGAGAGGCUUCCAUGUAAAUUUUACCAUAGUAUCAAAAGAAACGUUAGAAAAUUAGUAGCAUGUAUUUUGCUUGAAGCCUACCAUUUUGCAUUAACUACUCUAAAUGAAUGGCUGAGCAUGAAAGUACCAUAGUUGUACUUGAUGCUUUGGAAAUACCUUUCCAAGAUUCCCUUUAAUUUGGUUGUUCACUUAACUGUGUGCCUG